rnacentral:snRNA from 1 species
AUACUUACCUGGCAGGGGAGAUACCAUGAUCACGAAGGUGGUUUUCCCAGGGCGAGGCUUAUCCAUUGCACUCUGGAUGUGCUGACCCCUGUGAUUUCCCCAAAUGUGGGAAACUCCACUGCAUAAUUUGUGGUAGUGGGUGACUGCGUUUGCGCUCUCCCCUA